CAAUAGCGUAUAUUUUUUCUGUUGCAGUUAAAAAGCUCGUAGUUGGAUCUCGGGGCUCGGGCGUUUGGUCCGCCGGAACGGUGUGUACUGAGCGGCCGGUCUCAUACCUACUGGGUAUCCGCUUCUGCUCUUAAUUGAGUGGGGGUUCAUGGCUUCGGUUGUGGCGGCUGGCGUUUGGUUUCGGCCGGGCGUCAGUUGGGGUUCCAGUUCGUUUACUGUGAGUAAAUUAGAGUGUUUCAAGCAGCUCCUUGGAGCGUUGUAUACAAUUAGCAUGGGAUAAUAGAAUAGGACUUUGGUUCUAUUUUGUUGGUUUCUAGGACCAGAGUAAUGAUUAACAGGGAUAGUUGGGGGCAUUUGUAUUUUGUUGUCAGAGGUGAAAUUCUUGGAUUUACAAAAGACAAACUUCUGCGAAAGCAUUUGCCAAGGAUGUUUUCAUUAA
rnacentral:rRNA from 1 species